rnacentral:misc_RNA from 1 species
GGAAGUAAAAGUUGUAACAAGGUUUCCGUAGGUGAACCUGCGGAAGGAUCAUUAUUGGAUUUUGAAACUUCAGGCUGCUGCUGGCUCUCCUCGGAGGGCAUGUGCACGCUUGUUGUCCAUUAUUUCUCCCACUGUGCACAAAUUGUAGACCUUUCAGUAGGCCUAUGUUGUUUUCCACAAUCUCUGAAUGUAAUAGAAUGGUUUUGAAUCUUGGGAAAUACAAUACAACUUUCAGCAACGGAUCUCUUGGCUCUC